rnacentral:rRNA from 1 species
GACAGAGGGUGCAAACGUUGUUCGGAAUUACUGGGCGUAAAGCGCGUGUAGGCGGUUUGGCAAGUCGGAUGUGAAAGCCCCGGGCUCAACCCGGGAAGUGCACUCGAUACUCCCAAGCUAGAGUAUCGGAGAGGUUGGCGGGAUUCUCGGUGUAGAGGUGAAAUUCGUAGAUAUCGAGAGGAACACCGGCGGCGAAGGCGGCCAACUGGACGAAUACUGACGCUGAGACUCGAAAGCGUGGGGAGCAAACAGG